rnacentral:rRNA from 1 species
GACGAACGCUGGCGGCGUGCUUAACACAUGCAAGUCGAACGGAAAGGCCCUUCGGGGUACUCGAGUGGCGAACGGGUGAGUAACACGUGGGUGAUCUGCCCUACACUUUGGGAUAAGCCUGGGAAACUGGGUCUAAUACCGAAUAGGACCACGCGCUUCAUGGUGUGUGGUGGAAAGCUUUUGCGGUGUGGGAUGGGCCCGCGGCCUAUCAGCUUGUUGGUGGGGUAAUGGCCUACCAAGGCGACGACGGGUAGCCGGCCUGAGAGGGUGACCGGCCACACUGGGACUGAGAUACGGCCCAGACUCCUACGGGAGGCAGCAGUGGGGAAUAUUGCACAAUGGGCGCAAGCCUGAUGCAGCGACGCCGCGUGAGGGAUGACGGCCUUCGGGUUGUAAACCUCUUUCAAUAGGGACGAAGCGCAAGUGACGGUACCUAUAGAAGAAGCACCGGCCAACUACGUG